ACGCUGGUUUCCAGAGGGUUUGACGAGUAUUUAUUUGAAAGAGUAAGUUUACAACAACACAACAUGUGAGGGGGUUAAAAACAAAUGGGUGUUAGUAAAAUAAAAAUAAAUAAACAGAACUAAAGUGAACUUCAUGUUGACAUUGAUGGGCAUUCCAACCAGGAACAAAGUAAAAGAUAAUCAAUAUGAAAAAAACUCUUCCUGUUCACCUCUUAAAACCCAAAAACACACCGCAGUAGCACCCUAAACUAAAACUACCAAUGAGUUCCCUGUUUUCCUUUGUGAACUAUUCAAAGGUCCCUCUCUAUCUCCCCACACAUCCACCAACCACUGGAACACAUCUCCAAAGUUCUGCUGGACCAGCUCAGCUUCCCCUCAGAAGAAGUGCUGCCACCUGCCAGAUGAAGGAGCCUUUUGAGAGGAAGCUGGCAUCGUGAUUGGACUGUACUUUGGUCUGUUCCAAUCCAGCUUCAGCUCCAGAGACGGCAGGCGGGACGAGUCAACGGAGGCCUGGUGGACGAAGGCAUGCAGCUGAGUACAAUCCAGAAAACAACAGAGGAGGAGUGCAGGGCCAGAACAACCAGAGUAGCAUGACCAAAGAACUACAGACUCUUCACAACCUGCUCAAACUCUUGGUACAGGACCUCACCACACGGGUCAAGAAGGUUUCCGUCUCAUUUCUACUCUGAAGCUCACCUUCUCCUGCUCAAACUGCUGACAAAUGUUUCUGCUGCUCUAAAGUCUGCUCUCCAGAACUUCCUAAAAACUCUCAAAGUCUCUUCUGCUGCAGGUUGCUUUGUAGAACUGUUCCAGAAAACCUCACUAAACCACAUGGAGGGGCCUCAAGAUAGUCGUCCAAAUGAAACCAUACAAAAACCAAACUAGCACAACCCAAACGCUAAAGUCUCCUGCAGCCUACCAGAGAACCUCUGAGAACAGAGAAUCAGGACAGGAACUCUUACCUUCUGGACAACCAACGUUGCUUCACCAACAAGAAUACAGAAUGUGUCUGACCAAAAACCUCUACAGACUCACUACAGCCAAAAUAAAGACACAACUCAGCUGCAGCAAAUCCACUAAUCACUGCACACAUUAGCACCAUGUGCUAACUGUGGCUAAAGAACCACAUUUACCAAGACAACUAUCCAGUACAAAGCCCUAAAACACACCAAGAAACACAUUAAAGAUGAUUUUACUGCUGGAAGCUGCAAGCCAACGCCUAAAGAACAAACUAAAGCAAUGGAACCAAACCCAGUUCACUGGUGAAGAGAAGCAGAGGAAAUGUUUGUCUGCAGCUAAAUAAAGCAGGAAGACACUGAGCUGCUCAGGUGUUCCUGAUAACACCAAGCAGCCACCUGGACAGCCAAUAGGAACACAGCUUCCUGGAAGUCCAGAGGGCUGGGUUAGUGAAGGAAAUUUAGUUUAAAGUUGAAGCAGAAAGUUAAUAAAGAAAGUUGAAAACCA